rnacentral:rRNA from 1 species
GCAGCCGCGGUAAUACGUAGGUGGCAAGCGUUGUCCGGAAUUAUUGGGCGUAAAGGGCUCGCAGGCGGUUUCUUAAGUCUGAUGUGAAAGCCCCCGGCUCAACCGGGGAGGGUCAUUGGAAACUGGGGAAACUUGAGUGCAGAAAAGGAGAGUGGAAUUCCACGUGUAGCGGUGAAAUGCGUAGAGAUGUGGAGGAACACCAGUGGCGAAGGCGACUCUCUGGUCUGUAACUGACGCUUAGGAGCGAAAGCGUGGGGAGCGAACAGGGAUUAGAUACCCCGGGUAGUCCACGCCCGUAAA